AUUGAACGCUGGCGGCAUGCUUUACACAUGCAAGUCGAACGGUAACAGGCCGCAAGGUGCUGACGAGUGGCGAACGGGUGAGUAAUGCAUCGGAACGUGCCCAGUCGUGGGGGAUAACUACUCGAAAGAGUAGCUAAUACCGCAUACGAUCUAUGGAUGAAAGCGAGGGACCGUAAGGCCUCGCGCGAUUGGAGCGGCCGAUGUCAGAUUAGGUAGUUGGUGGGGUAAAGGCUCACCAAGCCAACGAUCUGUAGCUGGUCUGAGAGGACGACCAGCCACACUGGGACUGAGACACGGCCCAGACUCCUACGGGAGGCAGCAGUGGGGAAUUUUGGACAAUGGGCGCAAGCCUGAUCCAGCAAUGCCGCGUGCAGGAAGAAGGCCUUCGGGUUGUAAACUGCUUUUGUACGGAACGAAACGGCUCUGGUUAAUACCCGGGGCUAAUGACGGUACCGUAAGAAUAAGCACCGGCUAACUACGUG
rnacentral:rRNA from 1 species